rnacentral:rRNA from 1 species
GAUUUCUGGUUUGGUGCGCGCGGUCCGCUGCGGUUUCGUAGCGUGUGCUGUUGUGCGCCUGCCAUCGUUUGAGGCAGGGGCGUGCUCUUAACUGGGUGCGUCUUUAUCUCAAUCUUUUACUUUGAAAAAAUUAGAGUGUUCAAAGCAGGCUUGCGCUAUGAAUACAUUAGCAUGGAAUAAUAAUAUAGGACUUCUGUUCUAUUUUGUUGGUUUCUAGGAUGGAAGUAAUGAUUGAUAGGGACAGUUGGGGGUGCUAGUAUUCAGAGGCCAGAGGUGAAAUUCUUGGAUUCUCUGAAGACUAACUUAUGCGAAAGCAUU